rnacentral:rRNA from 1 species
UACGUAGGGUGCGAGCGUUAAUCGGAAUUACUGGGCGUAAAGCGUGCGCAGGCGGUUCCGCAAGUCAGAUGUGAAAUCCCCCGGCUCAACCGGGGAAUGGCUGGAUAUACUGGCGGUCUUGAGCGAUCUAGGGGCAGAUGGAACAAGUGGUGGAGCGGUGAAAUGCGUAGAUAUCACUUGGAACGCCAAAGGUGAAGACAGUCUGCUGGGGAUCUGCUGACGCUGAGACACGAAAGCCAGGGGAGCGAACGGG